GGCUCCGUAAUCGGAAUGAGUGAACUCUAAAUCCUUUCACGAGGAUCAAUUGAAGGGCAAGUCUGGCGCCAGUAGCAGCGGUUACUCUAGCUCCAAUAGCGUAUAUUUAAGCUCCUGCAGAUAAAAUCCUCGUAGUUGAAUCUCGGUAUCACUGUCGCCUGUCAGUCCUCGGCUGAUUGUGUUGGUGUAGGUGGGACCUUGCUUCGCUCGGUGGCCCUUGCCCAGGCAUGGUUAUGCUCGAUUCGAUGUGGUGGUGGUGGUGUCACCUUUCAGCCAUGUCUAUGGUGAAAUACCCGCAGGUUUAGGCGAGUGCCAGGUGGUGCUUUGCGAGAACAGGGUCCGUCGGCUUGUGGCAAUCAAGCGUUCAUAGCGACGUCGUUUUUUGAUACAUCGAUGUCGGCUCUUCCUAUGAUUGUGAAGCAGAAUUCACCAAGCGUUUGAUUGUUCACCCACUAAUAUGAACCGCGAGCUGGGUUUAGAACGUCAUGAGAUAGGGUAGUUUUACCCUACUGAUGGUUGAACUGUGUAAACAGUGAAGUACAAUCUGGCCAUUGCAAUGGUUAUACUGUUUAAUACGGGAGGAACCGCUGCUUCAGACAUUUGGUAAAUGCGCCUGGUCGAGCGGCCAAUGGUGCAAAGCGACCAUCUAAGGGAUUAAGACUGAAAGCCUCUAAGCCUGAAUUCCGUCCAUAGAUGCGCAACGAUACAGCUUUGCCUGUUACGUGGUGGGGCAGAUAUAGUACUUUCCGGUCAGAUUGAAUUCGGGUGGGGCUAGCGUGCACUACCGAACAUGUUCAUCGGUUCUCGUGUUGUGUGACAGUGUGUUUCCUAGAUAAGCGAAGGUUUUCACAUUUUGAGUUGAGCAUCGUUGACAUUGAUUCGGGGAGCAUUGCAUUCCUCACUGGGUGGCGGUUUGUGCAUGAAAACCGU
rnacentral:ncRNA from 1 species